rnacentral:misc_RNA from 1 species
UCCCUGUUACCAGGGCAGUCUAGCUAGAGAAAUACAACUAACUAUAAGGGUUGCGCUCGUUGAUGGACUUAACCAAACAUCUCACGACACGAGCUGACGACGGCCAUGCAGCACCUGUCACUUGGUUCCCGAAGGCACACUCUGCUUUCGCAGAACUUCCAAGGAUGUCAAACCUGGGUAGGUUCUUCGCUUACCAUCGAAUUAAACAACACGCUCCACCGCUUGUGCGGGUCCCCGUCAAUUCCUUUAUGUUUUAGUCUUGCGACCGUACUCCACAGGCGGGAUGCUUAACGCGUUAGCUUCGCUACUACCAGGGUCGAUACUGAUAACAGCUAGCAUCCAUCGUUUACGGCGUGGACUAC